rnacentral:rRNA from 1 species
CUUCCCUACGGGAGGCAGCAGUGGGGAAUAUUGCGCAAUGGGGGGAACCCUGACGCAGCAACGCCGCGUGCAGGAAGAAGGUCUUCGGAUUGUAAACUGUUGUCGCAGGGGAAGAAGACAGUGACGGUACCCUGUGAGAAAGUCACGGCCAACUACGUGCCAGCAGCCGCGGUAAUACGUAGGUGACAAGCGUUGUCCGGAUUUACUGGGUGUAAAGGGCGCGUAGGCGGAUGUGCAAGUCAGUCGUGAAAUACCGGGGCUCAACCCCGGGGCUGCGAUUGAAACUGUAGUUCUUGAGUACUGGG